GAUGAACGCUAGCGGCAGGCGUAAUACAUGCAAGUCGAGGGGUAACAUGGGUAGCAAUACCUGAUGACGACCGGCAAACGGGUGCGGAACACGUACGCAACCUUGCCAUAACUUGUGAAUAGCCUUUCGAAAGAGAGAUUAAUACACCGUAACAUAAUGAAGAGGCAUCUCUUUAUUAUUAUAGCAGCAAUGCGGAUUUGGAUGGGCGUGCGCCUGAUUAGGGAGUUGGCGGGGUAACGGCCCACCAAGCCUACGAUCAGUAACUGGUGUGAGAGCACGACCAGUCACACGGGCACUGAGACACGGGCCCGACUCCUACGGGAGGCAGCAGUAAGGAAUAUUGGUCAAUGGACGAAAGUCUGAACCAGCCAUGCCGAGUGAAGGAUGAAGGUCCUCUGGAUUGUAAACUUCUUUUAUAUGGGACGAAAAAAGGGUUUUCUAACUCACUUGACGGUACCAUAGGAAUAAGCACCGGCUAACUCCGUGCCAGCAGCCGCGGUAAAAC
rnacentral:rRNA from 1 species